UGACGGUACCCAAGGAGGAAGCCCCGGCUAACUACGUGCCAGCAGCCGCGGUAAUACGUAGGGGGCAAGCGUUGUCCGGAAUUAUUGGGCGUUAAAGGGGUGCGUAGGCGGCCUUUUAAGUCAGAUGUGAAAGACCACGGCUUAACCGUGGGGAUGCAUUUGAAACUGGAGGGCUUGAGUAUCGGAGAGGGUAGUGGAAUUCCCAGUGUAGCGGUGGAAUGCGUAGAUAUGGGGAGGAACACCAGUGGCGAAGGCGACUACCUGGACGAAAACUGACGCUGAUGCACGAAAGCUCGGGGAGCAAACAGGAUUAGAUACCCUGGUAGUCCUGCCGUAAACGAUGGGUACUAGGUGUCGGAGGUUUCGAUACCUUCUGUGCCGCAGUUAACGCAAUAAGUACCCCGCCUGAGGAGUA
rnacentral:rRNA from 1 species